CCUACGGGUGGCAGCAGUGAGGAAUAUUGGUCAAUGGGCGGAAGCCUGAACCAGCCAAGUAGCGUGCGGGAUGAAGGCCCUACGGGUCGUAAACCGCUUUUGCACGGGGAUAACACUCUCCACGUGUGGAGGUCUGCAGGUACCGUGCGAAUAAGGGCCGGCUAAUUCCGUGCCAGCAGCCGCGGUAAUACGGAAGGCCCGAGCGUUAUCCGGAUUCAUUGGGUUUAAAGGGAGCGUAGGCGGGCGUUCAAGUUGGCGGUAAAAUCUUGGGGCCCAACCUCGCACUGCAGUUGCAACUGGAGGCCUUGAGUGCGCGAAAGGCAGGCGGAAGUCGUGGUGUAGCGGUGAAAUGCAUAGAUAUCACGAAGAACCCCGAUUGCGAAGGCAGCCUGCCGGGGUGCGACUGACGCUGAGGCUCGAAGGUGCGGGUAUCGAACAGGAUUAGAUACCCUUGUAGUC
rnacentral:rRNA from 1 species